rnacentral:rRNA from 1 species
UACGUAGGGGGCAAGCGUUGUCCGGAUUUAUUGGGCGUAAAGAGCGUGUAGGCGGCUUUACAGGUCCGUUGGGAAAACUCGAGGCUCAACCUCGAGACGCCGGUGGAAACCGUAAAGCUAGAGUCCGGAAGAGGAGAGUGGAAUUCCUGGUGUAGCGGUGAAAUGCGCAGAUAUCAGGAGGAACACCCGUGGCGAAAGCGGCUCUCUGGGACGGUACUGACGCUGAGACGCGAAAGCCAGGGGAGCGAACGGG